UACGAAGGGGGCUAGCGUUGCUCGGAAUCACUGGGCGUAAAGGGUGCGUAGGCGGGUCUUUAAGUCAGGGGUGAAAUCCUGGAGCUCAACUCCAGAACUGCCUUUGAUACUGAAGAUCUUGAGUUCGGGAGAGGUGAGUGGAACUGCGAGUGUAGAGGUGAAAUUCGUAGAUAUUCGCAAGAACACCGGUGGCGAAGGCGGCUCACUGGACCGGCAUUGACGCUGAGGUGCGAAAGCGUGGGGAGCAAACAGG
rnacentral:rRNA from 1 species